UCCCCGGUAGCUCAGUUGGUAGAGCGAUCGGCUGUUAACCGAUUGGUCGCAGGUUCGAGUCCUGCCCGGGGAG
rnacentral:tRNA from 1 species